rnacentral:misc_RNA from 1 species
AUAUUAUUGAUUGUGUUGAGAAUGGAGAUUUUGAAAGAUUAGAAAGGCUCAGCAAGUUGGAGUUUCUUGAUUUAGAUAGAAGCUGGUUCAACAACAUGAGCAUAUUAUCAUCUAUUGGCCAUCUUUCAUGGAAAGUGUAACUGAUAUUCAAGAUUAGUUCAACUUGUUAUAUCUUCUUAUUCUAGUUUUGAAAAUUUUCCUUUUAUUUAUUGAUUUAUUUAUUUUUCAAUUUUCAAGCAUAAACUUUGACUGAUACUCUUUUAUGACUUUCGAAGGACUAUCAAGACUCAAAAAUUUGGAGUUUCUUGAUUUGU